rnacentral:rRNA from 1 species
GAUGAACGCUGGCGGCGUGCCUAAUACAUGCAAGUCGAGCGAACGGACGAGAAGCUUGCUUCUCUGAUGUUAGCGGCGGACGGGUGAGUAACACGUGGAUAACCUACCUAUAAGACUGGGAUAACUUCGGGAAACCGGAGCUAAUACCGGAUAAUAUUUUGAACCGCAUGGUUCAAAAGUGAAAGACGGUCUUGCCGUCACUUAUAGAUGGAUCCGCGCUGCAUUAGCUAGUUGGUAAGGUAACGGCUUACCAAGGCAACGAUGCAUAGCCGACCUGAGAGGGUGAUCGGCCACACUGGAACUGAGACACGGUCCAGACUCCUACGGGAGGCAGCAGUAGGGAAUCUUCCGCAAUGGGCGAAAGCCUGACGGAGCAACGCCGCGUGAGUGAUGAAGGUCUUCGGAUCGUAAAACUCUGUUAUUAGGGAAGAACAUAUGUGUAAGUAACUGUGCACAUCUUGACGGUACCUAAUCAGAAAGCCACGGCUAACUACGUGCCAGCAGCCGCGGUAAUACGUAGGUGGCAAGCGUUAUCCGGAAUUAUUGGGCGUAAAGCGCGCGUAGGCGGUUUUUUAAGUCUGAUGUGAAAGCCCACGGCUCAACCGUGGAGGGUCAUUGGAAACUGGAAAACUUGAGUGCAGAAGAGGAAAGUGGAAUUCCAUGUGUAGCGGUGAAAUGCGCAGAGAUAUGGAGGAACACCAGUGGCGAAGGCGACUUUCUGGUCUGUAACUGACGCUGAUGUGCGAAAGCGUGGGGAUCAAACAGGAUUAGAUACCCUGGUAGUCCACGCCGUAAACGAUGAGUGCUAAGUGUUAGGGGGUUUCCGCCCCUUAGUGCUGCAGCUAACGCAUUAAGCACUCCGCCUGGGGAGUACGACCGCAAGGUUGAAACUCAAAGGAAUUGACGGGGACCCGCACAAGCGGUGGAGCAUGUGGUUUAAUUCGAAGCAACGCGAAGAACCUUACCAAAUCUUGACAUCCUUUGACAACUCUAGAGAUAGAGCCUUCCCCUUCGGGGGACAAAGUGACAGGUGGUGCAUGGUUGUCGUCAGCUCGUGUCGUGAGAUGUUGGGUUAAGUCCCGCAACGAGCGCAACCCUUAAGCUUAGUUGCCAUCAUUAAGUUGGGCACUCUAAGUUGACUGCCGGUGACAAACCGGAGGAAGGUGGGGAUGACGUCAAAUCAUCAUGCCCCUUAUGAUUUGGGCUACACACGUGCUACAAUGGACAAUACAAAGGGCAGCGAAACCGCGAGGUCAAGCAAAUCCUAUAAAGUUGUUCUCAGUUCGGAUUGUAGUCUGCAACUCGACUACAUGAAGCUGGAAUCGCUAGUAAUCGUAGAUCAGCAUGCUACGGUGAAUACGUUCCCGGGUCU